rnacentral:rRNA from 1 species
AUUGAACGCUGGCGGCAUGCCUUACACAUGCAAGUCGAACGGUAACAGGGAGCUUGCUCCGCUGACGAGUGGCGAACGGGUGAGUAAUGUAUCGGAACGUACCAUUCAGUGGGGGAUAACGUAGCGAAAGUUACGCUAAUACCGCAUAUUCUGUGAGCAGGAAAGCAGGGGAUCGCAAGACCUUGCGCUGAUUGAGCGGCCGAUAUCAGAUUAGCUAGUUGGUGAGGUAAAGGCUCACCAAGGCGACGAUCUGUAGCGGGUCUGAGAGGAUGAUCCGCCACACUGGAACUGAGACACGGUCCAGACUCCUACGGGAGGCAGCAGUGGGGAAUUUUGGACAAUGGGGCAACCCUGAUCCAGCCAUGCCGCGUGAGUGAAGAAGGCCUUCGGGUUGGUAAAGCUCUUUCGGCCGGGAAAAAUACGCAUCAGUUAAUACCUGGUGUGGAUGAUGGUACCGGAAUAAGAAGCACCGGCUAACUACGUGCC